AACGAUAAUUGCAAACCUGUCGAAAGGCAGGGACGCAAAACCAUAGGGUCUAUGGUUCGCUUAAGCGGGCUAAGAUAGCCUGGUUGCCGAA
rnacentral:ncRNA from 1 species